AGUGAACGCUGGCGGUAGGCCUAACACGUGCAAGUCGAACGGCAGCACAGUAAGAGCUUGCUCUUACGGGUGGCGAGUGGCGGACGGGUGAGGAAUACAUCGGAAUCUACUUUUUCGUGGGGGAUAACGUAGGGAAACUUACGCUAAUACCGCAUACGACCUACGGGUGAAAGCAGGGGAUCUUCGGACCUUGCGCGAUUGAAUGAGCCGAUGUCGGAUUAGCUAGUUGGCGGGGUAAAGGCCCACCAAGGCGACGAUCCGUAGGUGGUCUGAGAGGAUGAUCGGCCACAUUGGGAAUGAGAAAAGGCCCAAACUCCCUCGGGAGGGAGCAGGAGGGAAUAUUUGGAAAUGGGGGAAAGUCUGAACCCGCCACGCCGGGGGGGGGAAGAAGGUCUUCGGAUUGUAAAACUCUUUUGGUAGAGAAGAAAGUGGGUGAGAGUGGAACCCUCCUCUAGUGACGGUAACUAAACAGAAAGGGCCGGCUAACUACGUG
rnacentral:rRNA from 1 species